GAAGUACUACCUCCGUCCGGAAAUACUUGUCAUCAAAAUGAAUAAAAGGGGAUGUAUCUAGAUGUAUAUUAGUUCUAGAUACAUCUCUUUUUAUCCAUUUUGAUGACAAGUAUUUUCGGACGGAGGGAGUAGCUC
rnacentral:pre_miRNA from 1 species